UGAAUACCUUGGGUACUAUUCUUCACUCUUGAGUUCAAGAUGUUUGGUGAAGAUUCACAGCAAGAGACUUGCCAGAUCUGACCAAUAAUGUCCAGUCAAUCAUUACACUUUAUAAGCAUACUUGUACAUCCAUACAGAUAUGAGUGAAGGACAGUGAUCACGAGUGAGUUCUCGUGAGACUCCCAGUCGACACAGAAUGACCCGAGAGUCUCCCACAUGGCCCACUGCAAGCUCCACCCCACCCCGCAGCAGGGAGACAGCUGCUGUUGUGCCUGCCCUCUCUCCUGCAACACAUGGACUUAUGGUGUAUGGUGUAUAAGACUGUACUCUGUAAAACUGUAAUAAAAUAGUGUUAUAGUAGUUAUUCUACUCCAAUGACA